GGGGUCGACCGGGCAAUCGCUAUCCAGCAUUGGAUAGAGGAAAGUCCGGGCUCCACAGGGCAGGGUGCCAGAUAACUUCUGGGGGGCGCAAGCCUACGGAAAGUGCCACAGAAAAUAUACCGCCCCGCUACUAUCCCGGUUAACCUGAAUACAAAAAAACCACUCUAAUUAAGGAUUUGCGAUAGUUAGUACUAACUUUAACUGAGAGAUUAGCCUGGAUAGUGGCGGGGUAAGGGUGAAAUGGUGCGGUAAGAGCGCACCGCGCCGGUAGUAAUACCGGCGGCAGGGAAAACCCCACCUGGAGCAAGACCAAAUAGAGGGACAGGGUAAAACCAUGCGUGGUCCGCGCAGUCCCUGGGUAGGUUGCUAGAGAUGUACGGUGACGUGCAUUCGAGAUGAAUGAUUGCCCCUGUUAACGAAGGUUAACAGUACAGAACCCGGCUUACAGGUCGGCCCCCCAC
rnacentral:RNase_P_RNA from 3 species